rnacentral:rRNA from 1 species
GAUGAACGCUGGCGGCGUGCCUAAUACAUGCAAGUCGAGCGAACAGACGCGGAGCUUGCUCCUCUGACGUUAGCGGCGGACGUGUGAGUAACACGUGGAUAACCUACCUAUAAGACUGGGAUAACUUCGGGACACCGGAGCUAAUACCGGAUAAUAUAUUGCACCGCAUGGUGCAAUAGUGAAAGACGGUUUUGCUGUCACUUAUAGAUGGAUCCGCGCCGCAUUAGCUAGUUGGUAAGGUAACGGCUUACCAAGGCAACGAUGCGUAGCCGACCUGAGAGGGUGAUCGGCCACACUGGAACUGAGACACGGUCCAGACUCCUACGGGAGGCAGCAGUAGGGAAUCUUCCGCAAUGGGCGAAAGCUUGACGGAGCAACGCCGCGUGAGUGAUGAAGGUCUUCGGAUCGUAAAACUCUGUUAUUAGGGAAGAACAAAUGUGUAAGUAACUAUGCACGUCUUGACGGUACCUAAUCAGAAAGCCACGGCUAACUACGUG